rnacentral:rRNA from 1 species
GAUGAACGCUGGCGGCGUGCCUAAUACAUGCCAGUCGAGCGAACAGACGAGGAGCUUGCUCCUCUGACGUUAGCGGCGGACGGGUGAGUAACACGUGGAUAACCUACCUAUAAGACUGGGAUAACUUCGGGAAACCGGAGCUAAUACCGGAUAAUAUAUUGAACCGCAUGGUUCAAUAGUGAAAGACGGUUUUGCUGUCACUUAUAGAUGGAUCCGCGCCGCAUUAGCUAGUUGGUAAGGUAACGGCUUACCAAGGCAACGAUGCGUAGCCGACCUGAGAGGGUGAUCGGCCACACUGGAACUGAGACACGGUCCAGACUCCUACGGGAGGCAGCAGUAGCGAAUCUUCCGCAAUGGGCGAAGGCCUGACGGAGCAACGCCGCGUGAGUGAUGAAGGUCUUCGGAUCGUAAAACUCUGUUAUUAGGGAAGAACAAAUGUGUAAGUAACUAUGCACGUCUUGACGGUACCUAAUCAGAAAGCCACGGCUAACUACGUG